rnacentral:tRNA from 1 species
GUGCAUGUAGCUCAGUGGUAGAGAACUUGCCUAGCAUGCAAGAGGCCCUGGGUUCCAUCCCCCACACCACA